rnacentral:rRNA from 1 species
UGGGUUAGGACCCAGUUGGGCCGAAGCGACUCUCUGGUCUGUAACUGACGCUGAGGAGCGAAAGCGUGGGGAGCGAACAGGAUUAGAUACCCUGGUAGUCCACGCCGUAAACGAUGAGUGCUAAGUGUUAGGGGGUUUCCGCCCCUUAGUGCUGCAGCUAACGCAUUAAGCACUCCGCCUGGGGAGUACGGUCGCAAGACUGAAACUCAAAGGAAUUGACGGGGGCCCGCACAAGCGGUGGAGCAUGUGGUUUAAUUCGAAGCAACGCGAAGAACCUUACCAGGUCUUGACAUCCUCUGACAAUCCUAGAGAUAGGACGUCCCCUUCGGGGGCAGAGUGACAGGUGGUGCAUGGUUGUCGUCAGCUCGUGUCGUGAGAUGUUGGGUUAAGUCCCGCAACGAGCGCAACCCUUGAUCUUAGUUGCCAGCAUUCAGUUGGGCACUCUAAGGUGACUGCCGGUGACAAACCGGAGGAAGGUGGGGAUGACGUCAAAUCAUCAUGCCCCUUAUGACCUGGGCUACACACGUGCUACAAUGGACAGAACAAAGGGCAGCGAAACCGCGAGGUUAAGCCAAUCCCACAAAUCUGUUCUCAGUUCGGAUCGCAGUCUGCAACUCGACUGCGUGAAGCUGGAAUCGCUAGUAAAUCGCGGAUCAGCAUGCCGCGGUGAAUACGUUUCCCGGGCCUUGUACACACCGCCCGUCACACCACGAGAGUUUGUAACACCCCGAAGUCGGUGAGGUAACCUUUUUAGGAGCCAAGCCGCCGAAGGUGAGGACAGAUGAUUGGGGGUGAAGUUCGUAACAAAGUUAACCACAUGGU